rnacentral:lncRNA from 1 species
CAGAGUAAGAGGAGAAAAAGGCCAAGGGUGGUGGAGCGUUUAGGAGUCUCAACAUGUAAAGGGUGGUUGGAGUUUCAAAGAGCUGAGAAAGAACUUGACGAGGGAUGGCAGAGACAAUUUUAGUCAUUGGUUGAGCUUCCGUUCCUUGGGGAUUGGGGAAGCAUUAAUUUCCCAGGCACCUUUAGCAGGCCAUGUGCAUGGGGAAAGGAGGCUCUGGCAGCCAGAUAAAGUCCUCACGUAAAAAGACAGGAGAUGGCAGUUGGAAGUUGGAUGAAAGUGAUGAAAAUGUCACAAGGUACCCCAGUGAGCCAAGAGUGUGUAUCAACCAUUGGGUGCUAGACCAGGAAGGAGUCAGAAGAACAAAUCAGUCUGAAGAGUCUGAUUAUUAUUUAAUGGUCAGGAGACCAAGGGAGGCUGCCCUGAGGAGGUGACAUUUGAGCUAAGAUGGGCGGAAUGAAAAGGAGACACUGAAGAAUGAGCUGUAGAAGGAACAGAGAGUUAGAAGCUAGAAAAGUACAUGGAGAACCAUACAACUGUGGUGUCAUAAAAGGUAAGGGAAGAAAGAGUUCCUGAAAAAGGAAGUGUGUGUGGAGGUAGUGAAUAGAAUGAUAGGUAUGAGAGGCUGGGAAGAGUGUGCAGGUGGGAGGUGGGCAUGAAGACAGGUUGGUAAACUGGACAUACAUACAGU